rnacentral:rRNA from 1 species
GAUGGCGCUUUAGCGUUCUGCCUAUACUCAACCGCUAGAAUGGAGCUGGCAUUAUUUUAUAUGCAGAGCCCCGUAUAUUCUAGUGAGUAAGGAGGUGUAAUGGUAAGCGUUGAAGGGUCUGGGUGUGAACCUGCCUGGAGCUGCCAUUGGCACAGAUCUUGGUGGUAGUAGCAAAUACUCAAGUGAGAUCCUUGAGGGCUGACGUGGAGAAGGGUUCCAUGUGAACAGCAAUUGCACAUGGGUGAGUCGUUCCUAAGCCAAAGGCGAAAGCCACGCUCAUAAACUUGUGGCCACAUGAAUUGUUACAUGCCUAGAAGCAGCUCAUGUCUCUGGAUAACUUCAUUCAACAGUGUGUGCAGAUCUAAGGCACUUGCAUGAUUGUAAACCUAAUUAUACCUGUAUGCUAGAUUGGCUUAAGGGUAUAUGUCUGGUGCACUUUCUUGUACUGUGCUCAUGAUGAUGAAAUCAUGCAUUGCCAAAAUGAAACAGAGUGAUGUGCUAGUGGAAGCAUAUUUUCGAGUGAGCCUGCAAGGAGUUUGGCGAAAGGGAAUCCGGUACUCAUUCCGGAACCUGGACAUGAGGAGUAGUGUUGCUUUAUGCUUCACAUAGCCGCAAGGCGUUUACCAUCCUGGAGAAUCCAACCAGAGAGCUGGGAAGAGUUGUCUUUUCUGCUUAAGGGGAAGAGGGCCUUGUGAACUGGGUCGGUCAGAGAGAGGGUCUUUUCCCCGAAUAGCACCGCGGUUCUUGCGGAGUCCAGCUCCUCUGGUAUGGAACUUGAAAAUCCA